rnacentral:rRNA from 1 species
UACGAAGGGGGCUAGCGUUGCUCGGAAUCACUGGGCGUAAAGCGCACGUAGGCGGCUUGUUAAGUCAGGGGUGAAAUCCUGGAGCUCAACUCCAGAACUGCCUUUGAUACUGGCGAGCUUGAGUUUGGGAGAGGUGAGUGGAACUGCGAGUGUAGAGGUGAAAUUCGUAGAUAUUCGCAAGAACACCAGUGGCGAAGGCGGCUCACUGGCCCGAUACUGACGCUGAGGUGCGAAAGCGUGGGGAGCAAACAGG